GCGUUUUGGCUUAGUUGUUUGUGGAGCACAUGAAAACUCCACAGUUAAGCUUGCUCAUGUGGGAGUAGUAUUGGGAUGGGUGACCUCUUGGGAAGUAUACACCGGAACAAC
rnacentral:rRNA from 1 species